GUGGAUUAUGAGACUCAUGAGAAUUAUCUAGAUGAUCGAUAAUUUUUAUUGGGUUAUGUUGGAAUUGUUCUGAUCCACUAAAAGUAGUUUCAGUGAUAUUGUUGAUAAUGAUCAGAAUAUAUCUCACCAUUAGAUAGAAUAGAAUCUAUGGAGUCACACACAUAAGAGAUUAUGACUGAUUGGAUAGCUAGAUAGCAAUUUUUGAACCGCCGAAGGACUUAAUUGUCAAUAUGUUGAUAAUUGGACUAAUUUGUAAUUAUUACAAAUUAGUGGUAUCAAAGUAUAAAUGUUAGAAGAGAGGACUUACUAACGAUUAGUAAAUUAUGAGAGUACUUAUAUGCAAAUGUUGCAUUAAUAAUUUGUUAUGAUCAAAUUAGGAUAAAGUUCAAGUCGAAUCAAAUUAUCUAACUAAUUAAAGAAAUGAUAAAUUAAAAUCUAGAUUUGAACUUAUUCUUAAAGGUUAUUAUAUUAUUAAAAUGAGGAAUUAUAUCCCUCUAUAUAAUAUACUGGAGUUUUUAAAAAUUCGUAGCCAUUAUCUCUCUUACUCUCUCUUUCCUUCUCUCUUUUUCUCUAGCAAGAAAGUCAUUCUUUGUAAGGGAGCUAGCUAGCACCCCGGUGAGGAUAUCGAUCAAAUCACCAACCUCGUGUGAAUACCUAUAGAGGCCGAAUGUAUAUGCGGCUUCAAGAGAAUCUAAUUUCACGAUCAUCAAAUUGCGGUAAAAUUCUACCCGCACAAAGGUGAAAAUUGAAUCUUCUUUUUCUCCUUUAAUCUUAAAGAACAUGAGGGAUCCUAAUUGCGUGAUAUUUUUGAGAUCGGAUCUCGAGCUUUAAAAAUCAAAUUUGUUUGAUUUUUUUUUCCGCUGUGCUUAUUCGCUCGCAAUUUUCUAACAUAGAAUAUAUCUCUAAUUAGCUUUCCAAUUUAAAAAUGAGAUUAAUCCUAAUCCAAUUAGGCAACAUAAUAACUGUUGAAUCAAGCCCGAUCAUGGGCGCAACCGAUUUGGUUUAACCGAAUGCCAACGGUAUGCAACCCCUCAAAUAAGAAG
rnacentral:lncRNA from 1 species